UGGGGUGGUCAGCAAAUGUUUUGAACAAAUGUUUGUCCCAAAUAUUUGUUUCUCUUCUUUCCAUACACACAAUAACCACCCCCCCCCCCACACACACACAAGGGACACACCCCAAAGAUCUCAUUGGCUUAGUGUUUAGGUCGCUGAGCUGAUCUCCACAUCAUGGCUACAGUUGGUACCUCUUGAUCCAGAGGCCUAGGAAUUGAGCCAGACAGUUAAUCGGUUAUUAAAAACAUAAAUGAGUUGGGCUCAGUGGCACAUGCCUGUAAUCCCGGUAGCUUGGGAGGCCGAGGCAGGAGGAUCGCAAGUUCAAAGCCAACCUCAGCAAAAGCGAGGCUCUAAGCAACUCAGUGAGACCCUGUCUCUAAAUAAAAUACAAAAUAGGGCCGGGGAAGUGGCUCAGGGGUCGAGUGCCCCUGAGUUCUAUCCCUAGUAACAAAAUAAAUAAAUAAAGCAAGCCUUCUUCAGACCACAUUCUCAAAAGACAGGGUCCAUGGACCUUGUUGGUAGCAGAAGCAGGCAGUCACCCAGGGCUGCUCUGAAGGGGAGUUCUCUGACCAUCUCCUCCUCCCUGGAAGAAGGUUCCCAGGCCAUUGUUCCCCGCGGCUUUUGGCUCAACCUUCUGGGAGGUUCUUCAGUUUCCCUGUGGAGUGGCCAAGUGGGGAGGAGUGAGAAUGUCAAAGUGAAGAAUGGACACCACCAGAGGGCUUUCAACCCGGCCCCAGACGCCUUCCCCUGGGGUCCUGGUCAGAAGCCAAAUGCCGGCUGAUCCAUUUUCCGCAAGUGGAUCGACCAAGCCUUGGCAGGCAGUUGCUCUACUGAGCUGAAUCCCCAGGCUAAUUAAUUAUUUUAUAUGUUUUGCUUUCCAAACUAUCUGUGAAGGAUCAGGUUUUGUUAUUUUUAUCGAAUUUUUAAUUUCAGUGAAAUAAAAAAAAAUCCUACAAAAUACAAACCAACUUUCUCUGAUUAGAUGUAACAUACAAAAGUUCUGUGUUCCAUUUGCUGUGAAAGUUUCAGAACCCUUCCUGCCGAUGUCUGCAGUUUCUUCUUGCAGCCCCUCACCUUGAGUAGCAUGGGUUCUAGAAGCACCGUUGGUCCGUCACAGGGCGUCUGUGGAUCUGGGCAUGCGCAUGGCCCCGACGUUCCUGAUCUUGCACACCUGGCCAUUCGUAGUUAGGAGACUCAGCUUUUAAAAAAACAAAGUAAAGAAUCGAUCCAGAUUAGUGGGUGCCGUGGUUUGAAGGUUCCAGGAUGGUAGGGAGGGGCUGGAGGAGCUGCUGGCCUCCUCUGUGUGAAUGGAACCCAGGCUCUGUCAAAGCCUCACGUGUUGGCGUCGGGCUCCUUCCUCCUUUGCUUCCCCUGCCUUCUGCCAUGCAGGACCAGCAAGAAGGCCCUC
rnacentral:lncRNA from 1 species